UCUGAGCUGAGAAACAUAAAGAUGUUUCAUUAUUUCAAGAUAAUUCAUGGAGAAUUAAGGGAAUGGGGUGAAAGUGAUGUGAUGUGCUUGAAGUUGCCAGAGGGAGAGGUGGUAAUAGGAUAAUUUUACUUCUAAAUUAGUUAGUGCUCUGUGUUAGCCCUACAGCAAGGAGUCAGGACAAGAAAGAAAGGAGAGAAAAAAGGAGUGAGCUUCAUGGCCCUGGAAAGCAGCAUUGGAGGAGCCAGGACGUUUCUGAAGGCUCCUGCCUUCUCCAUCAAGUUGGGAAAUUCAGAUGAGCCUGAGCUGAACAUUUGGAUAAGUGCUGUUCAUCCCUAAAAGCUGUGAUGUGGAAGUGUCUGAGCAAUGGACUGCUCUUGUUGGUGUUGGUCGACACCAUGAAGUGUGAGACAGGCAGCUGGCAGAAGCUAGAAGGAAUUUGGUAACAGCAAGUGGCAACAUAAUCACAUGGAUAAAAGCGUCUUGCUGAAAAAUGGAUGAUCCAAAACACAAAAAGUAUUCCCAGAAAGUCAGGAUCUGUUGUAGCCAUCAUAAAACAUGGAUAAAAUAUUAUAUUUGUAUACCUUCAUUGCUCUUCUUCUGUACAAAAAGUAGAAAAAACAGCAUUUGGUGGAUACAGAUUUAUAAUGGUGGCCACUCUAUUGAACUGGCAGUAUUCCUUGAAGUUUUC